UACGAAGGGGGCUAGCGUUGCUCGGAAUCACUGGGCGUAAAGGGUGCGUAGGCGGGUCUUUAAGUCAGGGGUGAAAUCCUGGAGCUCAACUCCAGAACUGCCUUUGAUACUGAAGAUCUUGAGUCUGGGAGAGGUGAGUGGAACUGCGAGUGUAGAGGUGAAAUUCGUAGAUAUUCGCAAGAACACCAGUGGCGAAGGCGGCUCACUGGCCCGGUACUGACGCUGAGGCACGAAAGCGUGGGGAGCAAACAGG
rnacentral:rRNA from 1 species